rnacentral:tRNA from 1 species
GGCUCGGUAGCUCAGUUGGCAGAGCGCAAGACUCAUAAUCUUGAGGCCGGGGGAUCGAGUCCCCCUCGAGCCACCA